CCCCUCUCAGGAUCGCAUCUGGAGAGUUUCCAGUACUCUACAGGCUCAACUAUGGGAGGGAGAGUCAAGCAGAGGCAUAUCCAUUCCAUUCCUAGCUUGGGCAGUGGCUAGCGAAUGGAAGGCAAUCUGCUACAAGU
rnacentral:snoRNA from 2 species